UUCCGGUUGAUCCUGCCGGACCCGACUGCUAUCAGAGUGGGACUAAGCCAUGCGAGUCAACAUAGCAAUAUGUGGCAUACGGCUCAGUAACACGUAGUCAACAUGCCCAGGGGACGUGGAUAACCUCGGAAAACUGAGGAUAAACCGCGAUAAGUCACUACUUCUGGAAUGGGUAAUGACUCAAAUCUACAUGGCCCCUGGAUUGGACUGCGGCCGAUCAGGCUGUUGGUAAGGUAAUGGCCCACCAAACCUGUAACCGGUACGGGCUCUGAGAGGAGGAGCCCGGAGAUGGGCACUGAGACAAGGGCCCAGGCCCUAUGGGGCGCAGCAGGCGCGAAACCUCUGCAAUAGGCGAAAGCCUGACAGGGUUACUCUGAGUGAUUUCCGUUAAGGAGAUCUUUUGGCACCUCUAAAAAUGGUGCAGAAUAAGGGGUGGGCAAGCCUGGUGUCAGCCGCCGCGGUAAUACCAGCACCCCGAGUGGUCGGGACGUUUAUUGGGCCUAAAGCAUCCGUAGCCGGUUCUACAAGUCUUCCGUUAAAUCCACCUGCUUAACAGAUGGGCUGCGGAAGAUACUAUAGAGCUAGGAGGCGGGAGAGGCAAGCGGUACUCAAUGGGUAGGGGUAAAAUCCGUUGAUCCAUUGAAGACCACCAGUGGCGUAGGCGGCUUGCCAGAACGCGCUCGACGGUGAGGGAUGAAAGCUGGGGGAGCAAACCGGAUUAGAUACCCGGGUAGUCCCAG
rnacentral:rRNA from 1 species